CCCCAACCCCUCCCUCCCCUCCCCUCCCCUCCCCUUGAUGGGCUGAUGGCAGGCCGGCAGCACCUGCCUGGCGUUGCUAUGGCUUCUGAUGCACUUUUUGGCAGACCUCCUUCUCUCUCCUCUUACGUCUGCUCGGGUCCCCAGGAACAAACUCACUGUGGGGACUUCUCUCUAGGAUUGCGUGUAUAUUGUAGGAUAUUUUUCAAGGUCCCUGACUACUACCCACCCACUCCAUACAUUCUCUAAAGAUACAUUUAUUUGUUUGUUUGUUUAUGUGUGUAUGUAGGUGUGUGUGUGUGAGCACCACGGCAUGACACAGAGGUCAAAGAUCAGCCUGUGCAGUGUCAUGUCAGCCUGGUGCCUAGUGCUUUUACUUCUGAGUCAUUCUGCCGGCCUUAUGUUUUAUUUGUGACGGAAAUGUCUCUAUACGUCCCCAGAUGUCCCUCGAUUGAGAAGUCCUGCCUCCAAGUCUUGCUCUGGGGAAUUCUCUACUCUUGAGUGACUGGUGGUAAACAGGGACUGCUGCCAGCUUCUGUGGAGCUUAGCUCUGCUUCCCUGAAAUUCUACGACAUGGGGAAGUGGGGUCUCCUUUGGGUCCCCAGCCUCAGAGAGUCGGCUUUGUACCUGGACUGGCUAUGCUACCUCUCCUGGGAGGAUUCGCCAGGACCAUGCACGCUGCAGUCUGUGCCCUUUCUCUAGGCCGCAUUCUGGACACAAGAGCUCCUCACAAGCACCAAAGAGUCAAGUCUGUUUUCAGGACUUACAUGGCCUUCUCUUGGUGUUGCCGCUCUUGAGUAUGGGCUAUGCCUCAAGGAAGGCCCAAAUGGGGUCACUGGGUGUUAGUGUUUGUUGUUUAUUGCUGGUUUUGGUGACAGAAUGGAGCAUAGAUAUGCUAGACAUACUCUGAAAGUGAUAGACAAAGGCCUGUCCCUCACCCCCAAGACAUCUAACUGAGGUAGUUGAGGGGGCUGGAGAGAUGGCUCAGCAGUUAAGAACACUGGCUGCUCUUCCAGAGGACCUGGAUUCCAUUCCCAGCACCCACAUUAUAGCUAACAGCUACCCAAAAUUCUAAUUCUAGGGCAUCCGACACCCUCUUCCGGCCUCUGAGGAUACGUCACGCAUGAGCUGUGCAGACAUACAUGCAGGCACUAUACCAAUACAUAUACAAUAAAAAUAAACAAAUCUUUUAUUUUAAAAGACUGUAUUUGGGAAGAGCCUAUUAGCAGGUCCACAUCUUCUAUAUACAUUUCAUGUUGUGUUUCUCAACUGUGCAAAAGUGAGUUCUGUCCUGGAGUGGAUGGUCAGAGGCACAGGAGUCUGGAAACCCUCUGCGCAUGCCAAGAAUGGAGAGCCUUCUUUGUCCUCACCCAGGAGAGAGCACAAAUCCAUUAUCAACGAAACACUCUGGGGAAAACUCGAACUUUCCUGGUAGGUGCUUUUCUCUAGAUGACACACAAUGCUGCUCUCUCAGUGCCGAGGACUCUGGCCAGACAUUGCUUAGUGAGACAUCGCCCCCGCAGCGAAGUGGCACGAUACUCUCCCCCCAGAUGGAAUGAAUCAUUCUCUUGAUUUUGAACCCUCGCAGCCUGUUACUCACACAGUGGCUAAUUUCUGACCUAUUACACCUUGCACAGGUGAAUCUUCAUAGAAACGGUCCCUCCCGGGCAGGGAAGAGGGCUGACUCAUCCGUCUUCCCCAGGCCGGCAAGACAAGCCCUGCUCGCUCGCGUACGCGCGUGGCUGCUGCUCAGCUACCCCUCACCGAAUCAAUUACUUUUAAAAUUCAGUCUCUUAGGGAUUAAGUUACUGAGGUCUGUGAGGAAACCUGUCCAACCAGUUGCACCUUGUAUACUUUUUCCUUGGUCAGCGCCUGAGCUGAUGUUUCCUCAACACGGCUGCCAGCCCCUCACGUCACGUGACCAUGGCGCAUCUUUAACCCGGUAAAGACUGGGAACAUCUGGGGAAAAGGACGAUUUAAGCACUAUUUUAUCUGUGUAUUUUAUAUUUUAUUAGUAUGUGUUAAUUAUAAUGACGAUUGCGUUAUGACUUUUUUUUAUAGAUACAUAAAAUGUAUUUUGAUUAUAUUCACUCUCAGUCGAGCUCUCUUCUCGCCCUCCUGUAGUAGCUGGUCCUUUUUCUGGUUCUGGCUAAUUGCUGUGGUGUAGAGCACGCGCUUGUGUAUGUGCGUGUCCCAAUGCUCUGUGAGGCUCAGUGAGUUCCAUCAGGGUCACUCACAGGAACAUGGAUGGUGGGUUAUUUACCUGAGCGUGGGCCACCUUAUGGCUACCCCACGAAAGAAAAUCCCUCUUCCAGCAACCUAUAGCUCCUCAGGGUGGGUGGAGGCGUCCCGAGCUCCUCCCUGCCCCACCCCAGGAUGCGGACAGGCUGUGUCCUAUGGCCACCUGGAAGGCCAACCUCUACAACAGUCCACCUUGUGAUUCAGCGUGCGUGUUCUUUCGGUUUGUUCUUUAUAUUGUUACCUUGGAGGGAUUACACAGACAUCCUGUUUGUGGUCUGUGCAGUUACAGCUACCUACUGCAAAUAGAGGCUGGUUUUGCUUUUUGUUUUUGUAGAUCUGGAUGGCCUUGGACUUAACAGAGAUCCACCUGCCUCUGCCCUCAUGCCCAUUUAGGAGUGCUGGGAUUAAAGGUUUGCGCCACCACACAUGGAAACAAAGAAAAGGUUUCUUUGAGCAAAGCUAAAGGUAGCACUGGCUGGAGAUACAGUUUAGCAGUUCAAAGUGCUUACUGCACUUGCAAAGGACCCAGGUUUGGUUCCCAACACCCGUCUCAGGUGACUCACAUCCACCCAUAGCUGCGGUUCCUGGGGAUCUGAUGGGCUUCUGACCUCUCUUAUGUUAUACACAUUCGUUGCACAUAAACUCAAGCAGACACACACACACACACACACACACACACACACACACAACUCAGUAAGUAAAUACAGCUUUUAGAAAAGCUGACAGUAGGACCAACCCAUGGAGACAGACAUUUUCUGAAAGGUGCUUUGACAUCAUGCCCAUUUAGGAAAACA
rnacentral:lncRNA from 1 species